rnacentral:rRNA from 1 species
UACGGAGGGUGCGAGCGUUGUCCGGAAUCAUUGGGCGUAAAGGGCGCGUAGGCGGGGUGCCAAGUCCGCUGUGAAAGCCUGGAGCUUAACUCCAGCGGGUCGGUGGAUACUGGCACUCUUGAAGGCGUUAGGGGAAGAUGGAAUUACCCGUGGAGCGGUGAAAUGCGUAGAGAUGGGUAGGAACACCGGUGGCGAAGGCGGUCUUCUGGGACGUCCUUGACGCUGAGGCGCGAAAGCUGGGGGAGCGAACGGG